GUUGGGGAUUUGUGGGGAAGGGGCCAAGGCUCCCGUUGGAUGCAGUUGGGGAUUUGUGGGGAAGGGGGCCAAGGCCCAGGUGGGAUGCAGUUGGGGAUUUGUGGGGAAGGGGCCAAGGCCCAGGUGGGAUGCAGUUGGGGAUUUGUGGGGAAGGGGCCAAGGCCCAGGUGGGAUGCAGUUGGGGAUUUGUGGGGAAGGGGCCAAGGCCCAGGUGGGAUGCAGUUGGGGAUUUGUGGGGAAGGGGGCCAAGGCCCAGGUGGGAUGCAGUUGGGGAUUUGUGGGGAAGGGGGCCAAGGCCCAGGUGGGAUGCAGUGGGGAUUUGUGGGGAAGGGGGCCAAGGCCCAGGUGGGAUGCAGUUGGGGAUUUGUGGGGAAGGGGGCCAAGGCCCAGGUGGGAUACAGUUGGGGAUUGGAAGUAGAAAAGCACCAAAAAGAAAAAAAGGGUGGGGGGAAUAAGAGACAGGAACAACUGUGCUGGGGGCUAGAGAGAUAAAGGGCAGUUCCCCUUCAGCCCACCUGCCACUAAGUGCUAUGUUAUUCUCUUGGAAACAAUAGAAAUGGUAUAAGAUCAUUUGCAGAGUCAGGUGCCAAACAAUAAUUAGAAAGGCAGAAAAGCCUUUUCCUGGGGGUGAAAGUGGGAAAGAGAAUAAGGGAAAGAAAGAAGGCAGGAAAUUGGUUGAGACAUAUUUCAACAAUCUCAAAUUUGAAGAAAAAUGUCCCUCAGAAGGCACUCUGAUAAGCAGCUAUUGGUCUCCACUCCAGCUCAAUGGCCAUCCCAGCUAUCCCUGAUGACCUCCAGUGAGAACCCUUCCCCCCCAGGCAUAGGCCCAUCCCAAUUUCACGCGGCUCUGGCUUUUAGGAAAGUGAAACUUCCUUUGCCCUUGACCUCUCAAAUAGCCCUGGGAAAGGUAGCCCAGGAAGGCCCUUCCUCUGCCUAAGGACUGCAGAAAAUUUACUGGAAGGGGGCAAGCAGAAAGGACAAAAAGCUGCGGCCUCUGUGGCCUUGGAGGGAGUGACAAUGGAAAGGGGCUCUGAGAUUCUAGAACAGAAGUCAAAUGUCAAGGGGAAGAUGGGAGGGCAGAAAUUAUACCCCAACCAGUGACAAUCUUGCUCAAGGAAGGCCGGCCCCCAGGACCCCACGGAGCUGGCGCUCCCCAAGCCAAUCUGAAUGUGCAGUUUGUGUUUUUGCUUGGGGGGGGGGAGAGGCUCCU